GUCAUUGAAAAAAAAUAAGAAACAAAAAAUCUCAGAUCUAGGUCUUCGCAAUUGGAAUUCGCCCAAUCUCUCUUUCUCUUUGAGCUCAAUCCCUUUCGAUCUCAAACGAUCUUUCUCGGCUUCGCAAAAUAAUUGAUAGAGAAAAGUUGUUGGUGGUGGAUGGCGGUGCAUUCUUGUUCCUCUGAAAAUAAUCGCUCAUUCGGAUAAUCUCGCCGCACGGACUUCGGAGCUCCGAUUUCCAGAAUCAAGAUUGACUCUUCGUUGUAUAUUCGAUGGCGUCAUGCUUCGUCGGUUGAUUUUGGUUUUAACGGUGGAGUUUGCGGUUAUUAGCUAUGGCGAAAAUGAACGGGACUGGAAAUAAAGGGUUUAGCAACACGGAGAUGAAAUACAUUCGAAGACACCAUAAUCAGGAGCCAAUGAAGAAUCAGUGCGCUUAUGCACUUGUUAAGCAUAUCAAAGCUCUUGUUCCUCUUGGUUCCUGUUUCAGCUGUGUCUCGAGAGACAAUCUCCAUGAUAGCAAGUGAGGCAAUGUCGUCGACUAAGGUGAAGGAUUGGUCGCUCUUGGACGACCUACCUGUAUUCUUCGAGAGGCAGUGGUGUUUACGGCCAACUGUACACAGCUCAAUUCGGAUAUGGUCAAAACGUAAGGGUUUUGAAAUAUUUCAUAAACUUCUCUUAACUACACUUUUUUUUAGUUUCAUAAAUAAAUUGUCAUACUUAAAGAUUGAAUGUUUUUCAAUAGCUUGGUAGAUUAUGAGGUUGAUUUUGGAUUUUGUGACUGUAGUUGAGUACUAAUUAUUCUGGAGCUUCUGUUGGAGGACAUGAUCCUGCCCAACAUUCUGCAGCUUCAAGGCAUUCUGCAGCUUCUGUUGGAUUUUGUUGUUUUUAUUUACUUACUUAUUCUUCUAACAACUUUGAGUUUCCAGUAUUUCAUGUAUUGGACCAUGCAAAGAGGCUGUUGAUUGCUCUGUUUAUGGAUCUUCUGGACUUGAGUUUGUGAGAUAAUUGAUUGUAAAUGCAGAUGAACGAUUGAAGUAAUUUAAUUUAUUCAUAUUUCUUAUUUAGGUCAUCAGUGCCUCUUCUUCGAUUCCCCUCCAUAAUGAGUUUCGCGGGUCAUUGUGUUCCAUGCAUGAGAUUCUUGGUUGUGAUUGUCUGACUUUGGUGCCUCUUUGACUUGCAAUCUAUCUUGUGUAUGAAUUUAAGGCAUCCUCUUCGAUUUCACCUCUGAUUAUUGUUUGGAAGGCAUCCAUCAAUUUGACCUUAUGCAUAUUUUGUUCCUAAUUAUUGUUUUCAUUAGGGAUCUACCUUUUUGUCUUUUGAAUUAUGUGAUUCAAGGGUUAAUGUCAAAUUUGAUAUCAUAUAUCUACUCUGAUACUUAGCAAAGUACUUAUUUCAUUUCUUUUGUAGUGAGAACUUAGUUAGAACAAUUGGAAAUAAUCUGUAUCAAAAUACUCAAAGCUGCUUGCACAAAUAGUUCAUGAUUUGUAGCUUUCCACCAAUAUACUUAAUUGCAUUUGGAAUACAUUGGUUCCUCAUAAAAUAUAGGUUUUUAUAUGUAAAUUAUUGAAAAAUUGAGCAAGUAUAAUUCAAUGGUGUUAAAUCAGAUUGGAUUGGAAAGCCUUUUGGAUCUAAAGUAUUCAACAAUAAAGAUAUUAGUUUGGUUGUCAUGAACUUGGAGAUUGUUACUGGUUGCUUGGUUCUUGAAUCUGGAACUGGAAGUGGAUCCGUAACGACUUCAUUUGCAAGAGCAGUUGCACCUAAAUGACAUGUCUAUACAUUUGAUUUCCAUGAGCAGAGGGCUGCAUCAACUAGGUAACUAAUAAGGAAGAAGAUACUGAGAUUGUCCAUUUAGAAAUUGCAUGUUAUUAGACAUGAAGGCAUAUUGGUGCACUGAAGUGUUUGAUAAGCUUUGUUCUAUGGCGCAAGAGAUAUGAGCGUGAAGGUUAGAGUUUAAGCCUUUAAUGGCCUUGCAAAGAUGGAAAUAAUAUCUAAGAGUUUUCUCUUGCAAAGCUUAUCAAAGAGAGUUUUAGGAAAUGGAAAACAAAGGGAAAUUAUGGAUAAGGUUAUGUGCUGAUUUGGACAAAUGGUUCUCCAAGAACUCAACUCAUGAUGUGUUUUUCUGUUGCAAGUGUUAACAGUUGUUUGCAUUGUGCUCUAAGCUCUAAUGUCCAAGUGCAUGAUGGUAUUAAUAUAACUCUAAUUGUAGAUGCUUUUGGAGCAUUAGAAUGGUGAACACAAGGUCUUAUAAUUGAUUAAUAUUAUUGAUUUAGGCCUUAAUUGAUUAGUGAUAUUAUAAAAUUGUUUUUUUGUUAUCUUAGUAAGUAAGGGAAUAGUCAAUGAAGAUAUAUAAA